rnacentral:rRNA from 1 species
CACCUGGCAUGGGCGCAAGCCUGACCGCAAUGCCGCGUGAGUGAUGAAGGCCUUCGGGUCGUAAAGCUCUUUUACCAGGGAUGAUAAUGACAGUACCUGGAGAAUAAGCUCCGGCUAACUCCGUGCCAGCAGCCGCGGUAAUACGGAGGGAGCUAGCGUUGUUCGGAAUUACUGGGCGUAAAGCGCGCGUAGGCGGCGACACAAGUCAGAGGUGAAAGCCCGGGGCUCAACCCCGGAACUGCCUUUGAAACUAGGUUGCUAGAAUCUUGGAGAGGUCAGUGGAAUUCCGAGUGUAGAGGUGAAAUUCGUAGAUAUUCGGAAGAACACCAGUGGCGAAGGCGACUGACUGGACAAGUAUUGACGCUGAGGUGCGAAA